GUUGGUUUGGCCCAAUAGUUAGAGCUUAGGUCUCGUAAUCGAAAGAUUGCGGGAUCGAAUCCCGCUAGAGGCU
rnacentral:tRNA from 1 species